UACGUAGGUGACAAGCGUUGUCCGGAUUUACUGGGCGUAAAGAGCGCGCAGGCGGUCGAUCAAGUCGAGUGUGAAAGCCCCCGGCUCAACUGGGGAGGGUCAUUCGAAACUGGUCGACUCGAAGGCAGGAGAGGGUAGUGGAAUUCCCGGUGUAGUGGUGAAAUGCGCAGAUAUCAGGAGGAACACCUAUUGCGAAGGCAGCUCGCUGGGACGUAACUGACGCUGAGACGCGAAAGCGUGGGGAGCAAACAGG
rnacentral:rRNA from 1 species